ACAUUCUCCGUUCGGGGAAGGACGAGAACCUUCGAUUAAGGUUCGACCCGAGCGAAGGCGAGAGAACGUUGCCGCAGGCAACGGCCCGAAGGGUGAGGAACAAAGUGACGAAUAAUCCUUCCCUCACCACCA
rnacentral:sRNA from 1 species